rnacentral:rRNA from 1 species
UCCGUAGGCGGGCGUCUAAGUCAGUGGUGAAAUCUUACAGCUCAACUGUAAAAUUGCCAUUGAUACUGGAUGUCUUGAGUUAGUGUGAAGUGGUUAGAAUGUGUAGUGUAGCGGUGAAAUGCAUAGAUAUUACACAGAAUACCAAUUGCGAAGGCAGAUCACUAACACUAUAUUGACGCUGAGGGACGAAAGCGUGGGGAGCGAACAGGAUUAGAUACCCUGGUAGUCC